rnacentral:rRNA from 1 species
UACGGGGGGGGGCAAGCGUUGUUCGGAAUUACUGGGCGUAAAGGGCUCGUAGGCGGCCCACUAAGUCCGACGUGAAAUCCCCAGGCUUAACUUGGGAACUGCGUCGGAUACUGGUGGGCUUGAAUCCGGGAGAGGGAUGCGGAAUUCCAGGUGUAGCGGUGAAAUGCGUAGAUAUCUGGAGGAACACCGGUGGCGAAGGCGGCGAUCCUGGACCGGUAUUGACGCUGAGUGAGCGAAAGCCAGGGGAGCAAACGGGG